AGAACACGCACGGUACGUUGCCGCCUUCUUUCAACUUGUUCGUUUUCAAUAUCUAUUUUUAAUAGUUUUUCAUUAUUUCGUUACAUGCAUAAAUUGUAUUGUAUAUUGUUUACCAAGGUAUCCAGGAGGUCACGGUAAACAUCUUGCUUGCUGAACAGUAGCCUAACCAUGGUGCGAUGUAGGUCCGGCAUUUUUUUUAUUAUUUAGUAUAUGCUCACUGGAGUAAACGAGAGACAGCGCAGUUGAAAAUUUCAACAAAUUAAACUUUGCACGAGGUUUAUAAAAAUAUAUUGGAAUUCGGUUUGUAU